UACGUAGGGGGCUAGCGUUGUCCGGAAUCAUUGGGCGUAAAGAGCGCGUAGGCGGCCCGGUAAGUCCGCUGUGAAAGUCGAGGGCUCAACCCUCGAAUGCCGGUGGAUACUGUCGGGCUUGAGUACGGGAGAGGCGAGUGGAAUUCCUGGUGUAGCGGUGAAAUGCGCAGAUAUCAGGAGGAACACCGAUUGCGAAGGCAGCUCGCUGGAACGUUACUGACGCUGAGACGCGAAAGCGUGGGGAGCAAACAGG
rnacentral:rRNA from 1 species